UGAGAGGCAUUAUGAUGCUUUGAUUACGGUAGCAUCGGAACUCUCUCUCUCUCUCCUCAACGGUCCUCACUCCUCCCGUUUCAUCUCCUCUCCCUCACUUUCCACCCUCACCUUACACCGGCGGGAAGGGAGCGUGCUUCUCCAGUUGCUGAAAUCUCGCUGCGGCAGCUGAUUGGCCUUCUGCUCGGGAUCUGGUACAGCAAGAUAACAUUUGCAGAGGUCAGAGGGGAGGCCGGUGGUAGGUAGGCUUCUGCUUCUCCUCCGGCCUCGGCAGUCCGAGCAGAUUCUCUUGACCGGUGUGCUGCUCUGAUGCCGUCUUCCCCGUGUCAACUCAACACUGCACAGGUCAUUUUUAUCCAUCCAAACCCUAACUAAUAGGUGCAGUAAGAUAUUCGAUUAGCUUUGCGUGCUUCCCAUCCAAUUCUUCAUGACCCGUGAUGUUUCUCUAUACGUCUAACCCUGCACAUUGUUAAUCGAUCCAUGACUUCCGGAGUGUGUGCAAUUAGCCCGUCGUUCAUGGAAGGUACCGUGUGCAAUUAGCCCUGCUUCCAGUUUGUCAUGAUUAAUCAGAUACACAUCGAGUUAAUUAAUUCCUGAUUUCCUUGCUUCUUUGUGGUCUUCGUGUUUGGAGUGAGUGUAUACAUACGCCUGCAGAGCUCUUGGAACAAGCAAGUCAGAACAGAUUGAUUAUUAAAAUUGCAUAGAAAUCUGCAAGAACACCAAAUGGCUCGAACUCUGCUAGGUAUGAAGAUAGGUUGCGUGCAAGGAUCCUUUACAGAGAGCUUUUGUUCUAACCAAAUUCUUGGUCUAAUCCAGCAUAUGUAUACACUGUUUGUUCAGUUCUGCUUGUAGUACUGUAUCAAACUUAAAAACAAAUUGGCGAUAUCCAUCAUUUAAUUCUUUGUAUUUCUGUAUACUAAUCUUUUUUGAUUACCUUGUUGGCUUGUUCCAAUAAAACUGAACUUGAAAUAGAUUAAAAUGGUUCGCUCAUGUAGCAACUGCUUUGUCCCAACAUAGUUUCAGAUGAUUGAAUUAUGUCAUAGUAUCUUGGUCUCCAUGAUUAAAAAACUGCUUCCUUGCCUAUCCUGACAUUAUCAGUAUUGCCUUUCAGUAAACAACCAUAAAGAGAUGGACCCUGGGAAUGGUUUUCUUUCUGCUAAGCUAACUGAUGAUCUGGUGGUGGAGAUCCUCUCCCGGCUGCCGUUCAAGUCUUUUUGCCGCUUCAAAUCUGUUUGCAAGGCCUGGCUUGCCUUAUCCUCCGAUCCGCAAUACUGCAAGAAGCUUCUGAAAAUUCCAACUGGUCUUCUCUACCAACGACGUUAUCACUCUGCUAUCAAGCUCGCUAGCCUGCCCCACAAUGAUAAGGAUUUUGAUGAAGCUCUUAGUUUCCUACCACAGUAUGAGCAAUUAGAGCUGAUGGACUCUUGCAAUGGCCUAGUCCUUUGUAAGUACAAGAACAGGAACAACUAUACUCCUCUAGGUAUUUGCCGCUUUAUCGUGUGCAAUCCGGCAACACGAGAGUGGAAGAUGCUCCGGGAUACUCCUCCUAGCCAUUAUGACCCUUUUUACAAUAUGAGUAUUUUAGCCUUCAGCCCAUCAUGGUCGGCAAACUUCUAUGUCUUCAACUUUCAGUGUCUUAGUACCCUCUGUUUGGGAUUUGGCCCUGUCAAACUUCAGGUGUUCUCGUCUGACCUUUCCACUUGGUUUCUGGACAUCAUGGCUCUCUGAGACAAUGGUUUCUCAACCACAUCUGUUUAUAGAUGGAGCAUUGUAUGUGCACACAGGUUUGCAUGACAUUCUGGUACUGAAGAGCUUGGAGGAAACUAGUUCUGGCAUUCCGCCGUCUCUUCGGACUAUUAAGUUGCCGCAUGAAGACGGCGCUUUUAUGGGUAGGUUUGGCCAAUGUUGCUUCGGCCAAUCUUCGGGGGCCUUGCACUACGCAUUGCCAAAGGAGGAUGCUCGUGCGAUUCUUGUUUGGAGUCUUGAUGUUGAUGAGCCUUAUGAAUGGAGCCUCAAGUACCGCCUCAGUAUGAGCCAUGCAUUCGGAAGGGACAACCUUUGUCAGUAUGACGCACAUUCCUGGAAAUGUGACUAUGAGGUCAUCGCUCUUGACCUGGAGAACGGUGGUCUUGUCCUAUUCGAUAAACGGGCAGACAAGCUUCGUUUGUACAAUAUAAAAACUGGUGAACUUAAUGUGAUUCAACCAGAUGACCACCGCUGCCGCGUGUUGCAAGACAAUUACUACCAUUAUGUGGCAUCCUACUCAAAGCUCCCUGCUUUAAGCCUUUAACCAUGUAGUCGGUACCAUCUUUGUUUGGCUUUUGAGUGUCGCACCUCUUUAUGCUGUCAAACAAUGCAGAUACGGUUCUUCUCUCUGUUAAGUGCUAUUUAUGGAUUGUAAUCUAGGACCAUUUUUUUGUUUUCUUGAACCUAUUCCACUAGUACCAAUAUUAAUGAGGUUAGCUCUAUUCUGUCA